UAGGGAAUCUUCGGCAAUGGACGAAAGUCUGACCGAGCAACGCCGCGUGAGUGAAGAAGGUUUUCGGAUCGUAAAACUCUGUUGUUAGAGAAGAAAAAGGACGUUAGUAACUGAACGUCCCCUGACGGUAUCUAACCAGAAAGCCACGGCUAACUACGUGCCAGCAGCCGCGGUAAUACGUAGGUGGCAAGCGUUGUCCGGAUUUAUUGGGCGUAAAGCGAGCGCAGGCGGUUUCUUAAGUCUGAUGUGAAAGCCCCCGGCUCAACCGGGGAGGGUCAUUGGAAACUGGGAGACUUGAGUGCAGAAGAGGAGAGUGGAAUUCCAUGUGUAGCGGUGAAAUGCGUAGAUAUAUGGAGGAACACCAGUGGCGAAGGCGGCUCUCUGGUCUGUAACUGACGCUGAGGCUCGAAAGCGUGGGGAGCAAACAGG
rnacentral:rRNA from 1 species